AUUGAACGCUGGCGGCAUGCUUUACACAUGCAAGUCGAACGGUAACAGGCCGCAAGGUGCUGACGAGUGGCGAACGGGUGAGUAAUGCAUCGGAACGUGCCCAGUCGUGGGGGAGAACGCAGCGAAAGCUGUGCUAAUACCGCAUACGAUCUAUGGAUGAAAGCGGGGGACCGUAAGGCCUCGCGCGAUUGGAGCGGCCGAUGUCAGAUUAGGUAGUUGGUGGGGUAAAGGCCCACCAAGCCAACGAUCUGUAGCUGGUCUGAGAGGACGACCAGCCACACUGGGACUGAGACACGGCCCAGACUCCUACGGGAGGCAGCAGUGGGGAAUUUUGGACAAUGGGCGCAAGCCUGAUCCAGCAAUGCCGCGUGCAGGAAGAAGGCCUUCGGGUUGUAAACUGCUUUUGUACGGAACGAAAAGGUCUGGGUUAAUACCCUGGGCCGAUGACGGUACCGUAAGAAUAAGCACCGGCUAACUACGUGCCAGCCGCCGCGGUAACAC
rnacentral:rRNA from 1 species